CUGAGAGGGAGGCCUGACUGUGGGCUCAUCCACUUGCAAGCCCGUUCCUGAGGUGGGGACUGCCUCAGAGCGGAUGCGUCCCUAGCAACAGAGGUAAAGCAGAGCAGCAUUAGAGAUGCAGACUUCCCUUGGGAUCGCCCACUCUGGCAAAGGCCUUUUAUAAGAUGGCAAGACAAGCUGAGAGGCAUGUAGGAGGAAAAAUUAUACGCUUUCUGAGGUUCUAAGGGACAGAACACACCCAGAGUCAGCACCAGAGACUCCUAGAUGGAAAGGAAGAUUGCAACGGUUGAGGCAGUGAACUCAAAAACCCAGGGAAGGCAGAGAAGGCAUCCCAGGUCCUGCUAUUUGGAGGUUUGGGAUGUGGCUACCAAAACUCCUUUCCUGAGGAAAAUGUAAACAAUGUCUAAGGUCCCAAGGACAAAUCUGGAGAGGACUGCACCAAAGUUCAUUCCUGGGGAGUCAAUGAGUUGACUGGGCUUGCUAACAGAGUACACAGGAGCAUGGGAGUUCCCUCCCAAAGGCCACACUGGAAAGUCUACCCAGCAGGGAUCAUUGCUCUACCGAGGAUGCACAGUCUAUAAACUCCAGCCCUGGCCUGAGGCCACAAGCAAUCCGGGCAGAACUACUUGCAACAUGCGCACCAACUGGAAGACCGCGUGCAGAUUAUGAUACCUGUAUACACGGGAACGUGAUGUAGUCAUCAGGAAGGAUGAGAAAACCAUCCUCUGAAAUGGAAAUGCUGCCGAGACCUAUCACAACGAGUGCACACGAGUCUAUGAGAGGACGGGAAUGCCCAAGCUCAUCCGAGCACUCACACCGUAGAGUAACCUGCAAGGAUACAGGAGCAAUCAUCACCGUUUCUGGUAACCUCCACAGACAGCCCACUGGAAAAAGAAAGCAGCACUUUAGCUAAGGCAUGGCACCACCUUCAAAGCGCAUCAUUAAGGGAAAAUGCAAGGCUGCAGAAUCAGGACCUGUCGUGUUGAGCGCACGCCUCCCAGGCGCCUGCACCAGUGAAGCCUCCCCUGGCAGGAAUCCACCCACCGAAGCCCUCAUUUCUCAAAGCAGCAGUUUGACCAUCAUAAAGCCCUACACAUGUGAUCUACCUAAGCAAGGGCCCUUCCCUUCUAGUCUAUUCUAUUCCUAGUGACAGAUCUUCAAACAGAUCUCAGAAACUGAUUGGUACAAAAAAAAAAAAAAAAAAAGACAUUCUAGCCACGUUGCUCUUUCCCCCAAAAAGAUACCACCUCUUUCUGACUUCCUCCAGACACUCUGACUGCACUCUGUAGCUUCCGUGGCUACUCUUGAGCAGACCGCCUGUCCGGUCUGACUCUGCACUUACUGGGUUUCUCACAACCCUCAAUCUUGCUCUCUUCAAAUCAGCGUGUGCCACCAGUCUCCUGAGUGUCCUCUUCCGUGAAUGCAGACUGAAACACCGACUUCAAAGCCAGCCCAGGGAAAGCUGCCAGAGAAGCACUUCUUGGAGGUGCCCAACGUCCCAACAGUGCCUGGUGCCCACUCUCACCCCACAGCUGUCCGAGAAGCUUCCUUACCUGACCCUGUAAAAGCCGAUUCCUGGAGUUCAAGAGCUCAUGAAGUGAGAAGUAUUACAAAAAUGACCAAAGAUCUUUAUUUUCUUUUAGCAGUCUCUGUAGGAACUGAACUUUAAGGUCCUUGAUACUUUCAUUAUAAAAUUCAUAAAAAUUCAACUUUAUAUAGAAAAAGGGCAGGUGUUGGUGG